UACGGAGGGUGCGAGCGUUGUUCGGAAUCACUGGGCGUAAAGGGCGCGUAGGCGGUCUUAUAAGUCAGAUGUGAAAGCCCACGGCUUAACUGUGGAAGAGCAUUUGAAACUGCAAGACUUGAGUACCAGAGGGGAAGGUGGAAUUCCCGGUGUAGAGGUGAAAUUCGUAGAUAUCGGGAGGAAUACCGGUGGCGAAGGCAGCCCCUGGCCGAUACUGACGCUCAUGCACGAAAGCGUGGGUAGCAAACAGGAUUAGAUACCCUUGUAGU
rnacentral:rRNA from 1 species